rnacentral:rRNA from 1 species
UACGUAGGGUGCGAGCGUUGUCCGGAAUUAUUGGGCGUAAAGAGCUCGUAGGCGGCUUGUCGCGUCGGAUGUGAAAGCCCGGGGCUUAACUCCGGGUCUGCAUUCGAUACGGGCAGGCUAGAGUUCGGUAGGGGAGAUCGGAAUUCCUGGUGUAGCGGUGGAAUGCGCAGAUAUCAGGAGGAACACCGAUGGCGAAGGCAGAUCUCUGGGCCGUAACUGACGCUGAGGAGCGAAAGCAUGGGGAGCGAACAGG